UCUGGGCAUACACUUUGAACAGUAAUUUACUUGAUUUCCCCUAAUCAAAUGUUCCUGUUUUAACCAUGGAGGGCAGGGAACCACGAUUCCCAAACAGAGAGAUGAAAGGCAUAAUGCUUUUUUUUUUUGUAUUGUCAGUUUAUGGAAAUGUUUUUCCUUUCAAUGUCAUUGUUGAAAUUGUGUCGGCCUCCCCUCUCCACCCAACACUCCAGUCUGGGCUCAGAACUGAGGUCCACCUGGCAUAUAUUGUGUCGGCCUCCCCUCUUCACCCAACCCUCCAGUCUGGGCUCUUAACUGAGUUCCACCUGGCAUAUAUUGUGUCGGCCUCCCCUCUUCACCCAACCCUCCAGUCUGGGCUCGGAACUGAGGUCCACCUGGCAUAUAUUGUGUCGGCCUCCCCUCUUCACCCAACCCUCCAGUCUGGGCUCUUAACUGAGUUCAACCUGGCAUAAAUUGUGUCGGCCUCCCCUCUUCACCCAACCCUCCAGUCUGGGCUCUGAACUGAGGUCCACCUGGCACAAGGUGAGUGGUGGCAAUGGGUCACAGGCUGGCCAUGGAACCACACAGGCAAAUGGCACCGAAUUCCCUAUAAAGGGCACCACUUGUGACCAGGGUCCAUAAGCAGUGCACUAUUCACGUAAAGAGCGCCAAUUGUGACAAGACAGAACAGUGUUGGGUAAACGCUCUUGCAAUUCGGACAAGAGGUGAUGCCACCAAGUGUGUGCUUCCAGAAGCUUCUGAGCCACAGGGCCAGUUGUAGUCCAGCUAUCACGGGAGGGAGCUUGGCUUUUAUUGUCUUAAAACCCCACGGAGAGCAGAGCGCAGCCUCAAACGGUCCAUAACCUUGUUUUAAUGGCACGAUGAAUACACACUUACAGCACGUAAUGGAGCCGAUCGAGGAUGAUGUCCCUUCAGGGUCAAUGGCAGACUGUUACCCAGGCAGGUAAGGAGGGGCCAGCGAUGUGUUUGCCUGUGUGAUUGUGUGCAUUUGCACUGACACGUUGUUAUUUGUGCUGCUGGGAAGGGGGGGGGGGCUGUAGGAGGAGCUUGUGGACCCCAUAGUCAAAGGUGACAUUCUUCAUCAGGUGAUGAACACACUGUACUGUGCUUGAUAAGCUGAAACUCAAAUAACACUAAAUGAAAUAGCAGUAAAAAUGCAGCAAAGAGAAAACACAGCCCAACAAAUCAUUGUCUACGGUUGUUUGUCCAGGAAGGUGUGGUUGUUUGUUCCAAGUAGUACAAAAGUGUGCAGAGGAUAUGGAUGAAACACUAACAACAGUUAAACAUAAGCUACAGAGAAAUGACCAGGAACUGUUGGCCUAGCAUAAUCUCAGGGAGGGGAAGGCACAGACAACGUUUUCCUUAGAGUAUCGUCACCAUACAGGUUACUCAAACAUUUCUCUCACAAAGUAG
ensembl:lncRNA